rnacentral:rRNA from 1 species
AGAGUUUGAUCAUGGCUCAGAUUGAACGCUGGCGGCAGGCCUAACACAUGCAAGUCGAGCGGAUGAAGGGAGCUUGCUCCUGGAUUCAGCGGCGGACGGGUGAGUAAUGCCUAGGAAUCUGCCUGGUAGUGGGGGAUAACGUCCGGAAACGGGCGCUAAUACCGCAUACGUCCUGAGGGAGAAAGUGGGGGAUCUUCGGACCUCACGCUAUCAGAUGAGCCUAGGUCGGAUUAGCUAGUUGGUGGGGUAAAGGCUUACCAAGGCGACGAUCCGUAACUGGUCUGAGAGGAUGAUCAGUCACACUGGAACUGAGACACGGUCCAGACUCCUACGGGAGGCAGCAGUGGGGAAUAUUGGACAAUGGGCGCAAGCCUGAUCCAGCCAUACCGCGUGGGUGGAGAAGGCCUUCGGGUUGUAAAGCCCUUUUGUUGGGAAAGAAAUCCUGUCGAUUAAUACUCGGUGGGGAUGACGGUACCCAAAGAAUAAGCACCGGCUAACUUCGUGCCAGCAGCCGCGGUAAUACGAAGGGUGCAAGCGUUACUCGGAAUUACUGGGCGUAAAGCGUGCGUAGGUGGUGGUUUAAGUCUGCUGUGAAAGCCCUGGGCUCAACCUGGGAAUUGCAGUGGAUACUGGAUCACUAGAGUGUGGUAGAGGGAUGCGGAAUUUCUGGUGUAGCAGUGAAAUGCGUAGAGAUCAGAAGGAACAUCCGUGGCGAAGGCGGCAUCCUGGGCCAACACUGACACUGAGGCACGAAAGCGUGGGGAGCAAACAGGAUUAGAUACCCUGGUAGUCC